rnacentral:rRNA from 1 species
CAGUUAACACAUUAAGCACUCCGCCUGGGGAGUACGGCCGCAAGGCUGAAACUCAAAGGAAUUGACGGGGGCCCGCACAAGCAGUGGAGCAUGUGGUUUAAUUCGAAGCAACGCGAAGAACCUUACCAGGGCUUGACAUCCCGCUGACCGGUAUAGAGAUAUGCCAUUACCUUCGGGUCCAGCGGAGACAGGUGGUGCAUGGUUGUCGUCAGCUCGUGUCGUGAGAUGUUGGGUUAAGUCCCGCAACGAGCGCAACCCU